CCUACGGGAGGCUGCAGAGAGGAAUAUUGGUCAAUGGCCGAGAGGCUGAACCAGCCAAGUCGCGUGAGGGAAGAAUGUCCUAUGGAUUGUAAACCUCUUUUGUCAGGGAGCAAAGUCACCCACGUGUGGGUGUUGGAGAGUACCUGAAGAAAAAGCAUCGGCUAACUCCGUGCCAGCAGCCGCGGUAAUACGGAGGAUGCGAGCGUUAUCCGGAUUUAUUGGGUUUAAAGGGUGCGUGGGCGGGUUAUGAAGUCAGCGGUAAAAUCGUAGAGCUCAACUCCAUCCAGCCGUUGAAACUGAUGGUCUUGAGUGGGCGAGAAGUAGGCGGAAUGCGUGGUGUAGCGGUGAAAUGCAUAGAUAUCACGCAGAACUCCGAUUGCGAAGGCAGCAUACCGGCGCCCGACUGACGCUGAGGCACGAAAGCGUGGGUAUCGAACAGGAUUAGAUACCCCAGUAGUC
rnacentral:rRNA from 1 species